CCAGACUGAAAGGAGAUUAGUCUGUAAAAGGGAGCAUUCUGGAACUGAAAAACAGAUGCAAGAGUGAAAGAGGUUAUACACCAGCUUUCCAUUCUUCACAGCUUCAUAAAAUGACGAUAUGCUGGAAGGUGUUCAUGGAUGCCAUCAGUCACAGACCUGGGGCCAGAUUGGCAGCACUGGGAACUGAAUUCCUUCAUUUCUCCCCAUAAAUUGCCAGCAAACAGGCAGCAUCCAGAGAAGCUUCCACACGCGAGCCUGCCAAUGUGCCUCUCCUAUGAUCUGGAGGAACCUUUUAAAAGUGAAGGGUUCUCAAAACUGGAUUUAGAGGAAAUUAAACUCAGUUCUUUAAAUAUGGGUAGGAGUGUGCCAGUGUGAGUGUGUGCCCACGCAUACACAUAAUACCGCAUCUCCAAAAGUACAAUUCAACAUAUGCAGCUUGCAGGAGAAAUAAUUAAUUUGCUUUAUUUCCUCUGUCUCCUAUUUCCUUUCAAUAUACUGAUGCUUCUAAGUAAAUAAAUAAAAGCUAUACAAAAUGAACCUGGUAGUGAGGCAUCCAAGUAAAAAGUGAUCCAUUAGCUGAAAUUAAUGAAGUAAAUAGGUGGUGUUUUGAAAUAACAGACUGAAGGUAAAAGCAUUAACUAAAAAAUGCAGUGGACUCAACAUUGGUAAAAGAAAAGAUGAGGGUACAGUUAUAUAAUAAACAGUAUCAGAGUGGAAGUUGUGAAGAAAGUCCAAGAUAAAAUCAUUUUUAAAACAACCUUUUCUGACUCUAAUAUUCAUAAUUAUAACUGCAAACAAAAUUGAGGCUUUUGGGCAAUAGGGCCUAUGUUUAAUUGCUCACAGUCAAUAUGCACAUUUGAAGGCUCCAAAAGUUUUCAAAAUAAGUAUAAUUUCCGUCAUUGUCUAUGAUAGCUUGCAACAACUGGAAUGAUAGCCCAAAUAUCACACUUUGUUUGUCGAUUUGACCUCCUACAUCACAUACCUAGAAAUAGUUACAUUCUAAUCCAUUUAUCCUUUGUGAAUUCCUGAAUCAGAGUUUGAAUAGAAUCAUAAGACUGGAAGGGACCUUGAGAGGCCAUCUAGUCCAGUCCCGUGCACUCAUGGAAAGACUAAGUAUUAUCUAGACCGUCCCUAACAAGGUGGGAGUUUUGUUGCUAUCUUCUACUAUAAAGAAUGUAUUUCUCAUUGAAUAGCUGGUUUUCAUGCUGUAAGGCUUCUGA